rnacentral:rRNA from 1 species
GCCUGUUUUAUCAAAAACAUAGCUUAUUGAAUUUUAAUUAUAAGUUUUUUCUGCCCGGUGAAUAUUAAACGGCCGCGGUAUUUUGACCGUGCAAAGGUAGCAUAAUAACUUGUCCUUUAAUUGGGGACUAGAAUGAAGGAAAGUUUGAAAUUUUUUCUGUCUUAAAGUGUUGUUUAGAACUUGCUGUUUUUGUGAAGAAGCAAAGGUGAAAAAAAAAGACAAGAAGACCCCGUUAAGCUUGAUUUUUAUAGAUUUUUAUUUAAGCUUGUCUUAUUUAUAUAUUUGUUUUAAAAAAUUUGGUUGGGGCGACUAAAAAGGAGAUUAUCCUCUUUUGUCUUUUUAACGCUAGGUUAAAUAAUGAUCCAAAAUGUUUUGAUUAUUUGAAUUAGUUACUACGGGGAUAACAGCGUAAUUUUUUCGGAGAGUUCUUAUUGAUGAAAAAGUUUGCGACCUCGAUGUUGACUUAUUAUUUCCUUGUAAGGUGCAGGAGUUGUGAGGGUUGAUCUGUUCGAUCAUUAAAAUAAU